rnacentral:lncRNA from 1 species
CUUUAUUGGUAAAUUUCCCGUGUGAAACUAAACUUAGCUCGUUCCAAAGGUAAGUUGGAUUUUCAGUCUACGGUGAAAUUUUGCAGAAAGCACUCCCUCUGGCUAGUGUUUUUUUUUUUUUUAGCGAUUGGGAGAGUUGUGAUGUGGUUUGUGGUGGAACGCGAUCUAAGGAGGAAAUGUAACGCCGGACGCUUCCCUGUCUUUGACCUUUUUAAAGGAAGAGGAAGUUAACUGACAUUACCCAUCACCCCCAAAAGUCUCACUUCUUGGAAGACUGGUGUUAAAUGCUGAAUAUUUUUAAAGGGCUUGAAUUUACUCUUCCUAGGCCUGAUAUCUGGAGGGUACCGUGGCUCCUGGCUGGAAAGUCUAGUGUUGAAUGUGUCUAAUUUCAUGUUAUUUGCUCGACUGUAGAGUUUUUGGACAGCUUUGAUUGAAAAGACUUGGUGACGAGGUAUUUUAGUUAAAAAGCAGCGGGUGAAGGUAAAACGUUGAAUUCAUGAAUUCCACGGAGAAUUAGAAAGGCAUUAUUACCUACCUGAGUAACAUUUCAUCAUACACCCCUCCCCCCAAUCCGUUGUAUUUAUGUAAAUCAAUAAAUAAUUAUUGGAUGUUU